rnacentral:lncRNA from 1 species
UGGUAUGAAGUGUUUCCCUUGAGGAAUACAUCUAAGGUCUCCUCAAAUUCUUCUACUGUUUGAUCAACUAGAAAUGGGUCAUAGUGUUGGGCUAAAACAAGAAUUGUUGUUGUCUGAACCUCCACCUCUGACAGGACCAACAAAUUCCCACUCAUUCCCGAAUGCAUUUCUCAAGGUCAUCUUUUUCAUAUCCCUCAAGAGAUUGAUGUUGCCCCCC